CGCGUAGGCGGGUGGUCAAGUCAGGGGCGAAAUAUUUCGGCUCAACCGGAAAAUUGCCUUUGAUACUGACCGUCUUGAGCGAGGUAGGGGCAUGUGGAACUUCCGGUGGAGCGGUGAAAUGCGUUGAUAUCGGAAGGAACGCCGGUGGCGAAAGCGACGUGCUGGACCUCUUCUGACGCUGAGGCGCGAAAGCUAGGGGAGCGAACG
rnacentral:rRNA from 1 species